AGGCCAUGGUGAGGGAAUUCUUGGAGUAGAUCCUUGAAUCUCUUCAUAAGUUUGGAAAAAGGACUCACUAGGCUUUUAUCUAAACUGAAGGAUAUCACUUCUAAGCUU